rnacentral:rRNA from 1 species
AUACGGAGGGUGCAAGCGUUGUUCGGAAUCACUGGGCGUAAAGGGCGCGCAGGCGGUUUGAUUAGUCAGAUGUGAAAGCCCACGGCUUAACCGUGGAAGUGCAUUUGAAACUGUCAGACUUGAGUACCAGAGGGGGUAGUGGAAUUCCCGGUGUAGAGGUGUAAUUCGUAGAUAUCGGGAGGAAUACCGGUGGCGAAGGCGACUACCUGGCUGGAUACUGACGCUGAGGCGCGAAAGCGUGGGGAGCAAACAGGAUUAGAAACCCGAGUAGUCC